AGAGUUUGAUCCUGGCUCAGGAUGAACGCUAGCGGCAGGCCUAAUACAUGCAAGUCGAGGGGUAACAGGGUAGCAAUACUGCUGACGACCGGCGCACGGGUGCGUAACGCGUAUGCAACUUACCUUCAACUGGAAGAUAGCCCCUCGAAAGAGGGAUUAAUAUUCCAUAGUAUUACGAGAUGGCAUCAUUUUGUAAUUAAAGCUCCGGCGGUUGAAGAUGGGCAUGCGUGACAUUAGCUAGUUGGUGAGGUAACGGCUCACCAAGGCUACGAUGUCUAGGGGAUCUGAGAGGACUAACCCCCACACUGGUACUGAGACACGGACCAGACUCCUACGGGAGGCAGCAGUAAGGAAUAUUGGUCAAUGGAGGCAACUCUGAACCAGCCAUGCCGCGUGCAGGAUGACGGCCCUAUGGGUUGUAAACUGCUUUUAUACGGGAAGAAAACGCUCUACGUGUAGAGCACUGACGGUACCGUAAGAAAUAAGGAUCCU
rnacentral:rRNA from 1 species